GAUGAAGAACGCAGCGAAAUGCGAUACGUAAUGUGAAUUGCAGAAUUCAGUGAAUCAUCGAAUCUUUGAACGCAUAUUGCGCUCUCUGGUAUUCCGGAGAGCAUGCUUGUUUGAGUAUCAGUAAACACCUCAACUCCCCUUUCUUUUUUUGAAAUGGGAGCUGGACUUGAGUGAUCCCAACGCUUUUCUCACCGAAAAGUGGCGGGUUACUUGAAAUGCAGGUGCAGCUGGACUUUUCUCUGAGCUAAAAGCAUAUCUAUUUAGUCUGCCUAAAAAACAGAUUAUUACCUGUGCUGCAGCUAACAUAAAGGAGAUUAGUUCUUGUGCUGACUGAUGCAGGAUUCACAGAGACAGCUUCGGCUGGCCUUUGUAAACUCGAUCUCAAAUCAAGUAAGACUACCCGCUGAACUUAAGCAUAUCAAUAAGCGGAGGA
rnacentral:misc_RNA from 1 species